GACGAACCGUCCAAACGUUAUUCGGAAUUACUGGGCUUAAAGGGUGCGUAGGCGGCGCGGAAAGUUGGGUGUGAAAUCCCUCGGCUCAACCGAGGAACUGCGCUCAAUACUACCGUGCUCGAGGGAGAUAGAGGUGAGCGGAACUUAGGGUGGAGCGGUGAAAUGCGUAGAUAUCGGGAGGAACACCAGUGGCGAAGGCGACUACCUGGCCUGUUCUUGACGCUGAGGCGCGAAAGCUAGGGGAGCAAACGGG
rnacentral:rRNA from 1 species